rnacentral:tRNA from 1 species
GGCUCCAUAGCUCAAGUGGACAGAGCGCUGGUCUUCUAAACCAGAAGGUCGCGAGUUCGAUUCCUCGCUGGAGUCG